rnacentral:rRNA from 1 species
UACGAAGGGGGCUAGCGUUAAUCGGAUUUACUGGGCGUAAAGCGUGCGUAGGCGGUUCAUUAAGUCGGUUGUGAAAUCCCUGGGCUUAACUUGGGAACUGCAGUCGAUACUGGUGGACUAGAAUGCGGUAGAGGGUGGCGGAACUCCGGGUGUAGCGGUGAAAUGCGUAGAUAUCCGGAAGAACACCGAUGGCGAAGGCAACCACCUGGGCCUGCAUUGACGCUGAGGUACGAAAGCGUGGGGAUCAAACAGG